rnacentral:tRNA from 4 species
GGGGAGAUAGCGAAGUGGCUAAACGCGGCAGACUGUAAAUCUGUUCCCUCCGGGUUCGGCGGUUCGAAUCCGUCUCUCCCCACCA